AUUGAACGCUGGCGGCAUGCCUUACACAUGCAAGUCGAACGGCAGCACGGGUGCUUGCACCUGGUGGCGAGUGGCGAACGGGUGAGUAAUACAUCGGAACAUGUCCUGUAGUGGGGGAUAGCCCGGCGAAAGCCGGAUUAAUACCGCAUACGAUCCACGGAUGAAAGCGGGGGACCUUCGGGCCUCGCGCUAUAGGGUUGGCCGAUGGCUGAUUAGCUAGUUGGUGGGGUAAAGGCCUACCAAGGCGACGAUCAGUAGCCGGUCUGAGAGGACGACCAGCCACACUGGGACUGAGACACGGCCCAGACUCCUACGGGAGGCAGCAGUGGGGAAUUUUGGACAAUGGGCGAAAGCCUGAUCCAGCAAUGCCGCGUGUGUGAAGAAGGCCUUCGGGUUGUAAAGCACUUUUGUCCGGAAAGAAAUCCUUGACUCUAAUACAGUCGGGGGAUGACGGUACCGGAAGAAUAAGCACCGGCUAACUACGUG
rnacentral:rRNA from 1 species